AACGAACGCUGGCGGCAUGCUUAACACAUGCAAGUCGAACGAGAACUUCCGGUCUAGUGGCGCACGUGUUCGUAACGCGUGGGAACCUACCCUUAGGUUCGGCAUCACUCCCCGAAAUGGGUGCUAAUACCGGCUAAUAUCUUCGGACAAAUGAUUUCUCGCCUUGGGAUGGGCCCGCGUUGGUUUAGCUAGUUGGUAGGGUAUAAGCCCACCACGGCGACGUUCCAUAGCUGGUCUGUGAGGAUGAUACGCCACACUGGGACUAAGACACGGCCCAGACUCCUACGGGAGGCAGCAGUGGGGAAUAUUGGACAAGGAGCGAAAGCCUGAUCAAGCAGUGCCGGGUGAGUGGUGAAGGCGUUUGGAUUGUAAAGCUCUUUUACCCGGGGUGAUAAUGACAGUACCGGGAGAAUAAGCUCCGGCUAACUCCGUG
rnacentral:rRNA from 1 species